rnacentral:rRNA from 1 species
UACGUAGGGUCCGAGCGUUGUCCGGAUUUAUUGGGCGUAAAGAGCUCGUAGGCGGUUUCGUAAGUCGGAUGUGAAAACUCAGGGCUCAACCCGGAGACGCCAUCCGAUACUGCGAUGACUGGAGUCUGGUAGGGGAUCACGGAAUACCUGGUGUAGCGGUGAAAUGCGCAGAUAUCAGGUGGAACACCGAUGGCGAAGGCAGUGAUCUGGGCCAGUACUGACGCUGAGGCGCGAAAGCCAGGGGAGCAAACGGG